rnacentral:rRNA from 1 species
AGUCACUGACAUUAGACUACCCGGUAGUCCAGGGUGUAAACGCUGCAGACUUGGUGUUGGGAACCCUUCGGGGGUGCUCAGUGCCGGAGAGAAGUUGUUAAGUCUGCUACUUGGGGAGUACGUCCGCAAGGAUGAAACUUAAAGGAAUUGGCGGGGGAGCACCGCAACGGGAGGAGCGUGCGGUUUAAUUGGAUUCAACGCCGAAAAACUCACCAGCAGCGACUGUUACAUGAAAGUCAGGUUGAUGACCUUACUAGAUUUUCAG